GCUGUGGUGCUAUGGUGAGAUAAGCCACUCAUAAUGCUGUAUGAUUCUACUUACUAGCCAAAGGCGUGGAGACACAAAGUAAGAGUGGUCUCUGCACCGCUGGGGAGAGCAAUGGAGAGUUGGUUUAAUAGCGCUGUGCGUUUAAAGAGGGCGAAGAUGAUGCAAUUCAGAAACUACCGGGGAGCCAGGUACAGCGGCACAAGCCUGUAUGUAACCCCAGCAGUUCAGAGGCUAAGAACCAACUUGAGGGAACACUUAACUGGGCCAUUGCUAACGACCCAAAGCCUUUCCUGGUGGCUGCCUUAACUCAUCGCUGGACCCUAGGGACAGAGAGUUAAGGUCAGUCGGGAGAAAGCCCCUCUUUAUCAAUCAAACUUAAACAGCGUAGUCCUUAACAGAGGUGUGACAACCAAGACUAACCAUCGGUUUACCACAGAUAUGUGAAAUCUGUUGGAGAGGCGUUGUGAGUGGGAGACACAGCCUUUGGCAUCAGGCAUCCGUCCUUCUUGCUCAUUUACAGCGUGAUCUUGAUUGAGCCUCAAGCAAAUUUUGUAACUUGCCUGGGUCCCUUUGAAGUCGUUGUGAUGAUAUUUACCUCUGGGAAUGAUUUCCAGACAUCAAUGAGGGGGAAAAGGAAUCAGGCACACGUACGUUCGUGCUUUCCUGGCAGGAAUUUUACAAUCAAGAUACAUGCUUACCCAGCGGACUGAUGACUGAUGCUUUAAAGAAUUCCUCGGACCACAUGUGGAGACACGGAAGGUGACAGAAUAGUCUGAAGCAUGCACACUGCCUAGGGAGGCGCAUCAACACUCCAGCUAAGAGAUGCUAAUGGCUACUACUGCACAGAGGUAUCAUACAGAAGGUGAGAAAUGGAUGCCUGAUAGAACAGUAGAAGCAGCGUUCAGGUGACUCGCUGAAGAGUUAGAGACAGAACAGGAAGAAAGGGAAGAAUCAAAACCAGCUCCCAGGUUUUGCCCCGUGUCUUGGGCAGCUUAGUGCCCCCAUUUCUCCAAUGGUACAGCUUGAAUACUUCAAAGUAAAAAUAGUUGGCUAGAGGCUUUCUCUACGUGAGGUUAUAAAUGAGGCAGUCUGAACAAGAUAAAAUAGAUUCUAUUCAAAACAGCAAAAGAGUUUCCAAAGCCCCUGAAGUAAAUGAAAGAAUACUGUGGUGCUUUAAAUGAAAUAUCCAUAAUACUUUCUGAAAUUGGAAUACUUGGUCCCUAGUUGAUGAUGCUGUUUGGGCGGGUUUAGGAGGCAUAUGACCUUGCUGAGGGAAGUAUGUCACCAAGAGCGGGCACUCCCAGUGCACUCUUUGCCUACUUCCUGCUUCUGGCUUAAAAUGGAAGCCCUCGUCCUCAGCCUGCUCACUGUCAUGCUUCCCCACACAGUGAUGGACUUUUCUCUAGAACUAUAAGCCCGCCACGUAUGUUCUUUUUCCUGAAAGUUUCAGGUGUUUUUUUCAGAUAACUUAAAAGAGCA